GAUGAACGCUAGCUACAGGCUUAACACAUGCAAGUCGAGGGGAAACGACAUCGAAAGCUUGCUUUUGAUGGGCGUCGACCGGCGCACGGGUGAGUAACGCGUAUCCAACCUGCCCAUCACUUGGGAAUAACCUUGCGAAAGUAAGACUAAUACCCAAUGACAUCCCACGAAGACAUCUGAAUGGGAUUAAAGAUUUAUCGGUGAUGGAUGGGGAUGCGUCUGAUUAGCUUGUUGGCGGGGUAACGGCCCACCAAGGCAACGAUCAGUAGGGGUUCUGAGAGGAAGGUCCCCCACAUUUGAACUGAGACACGGUCCAAACUCCUACGGGAGGCAGCAGUGAGGAAUAUUGGUCAAUGGGCGAGAGCCUGAACCAGCCAAGUAGCGUGCAGGAUGACGGCCCUAUGGGUUGUAAACUGCUUUUAUAAGGGAAUAAAGUGGGUCUCGUGAGACUUUUUGCAUGUACCUUAUGAAUAAGGACCGGCUAAUUCCGUG
rnacentral:rRNA from 1 species